GCUUUGGUGGUUCAGUGGUAGAAUUUUUGCCUUCCCUGCUAGAGGUCCGGGUUCGAUUCCUGGUUAAGGCA
rnacentral:tRNA from 1 species